AUUGAACGCUGGCGGCAGGCCUAACACAUGCAAGUCGAACGAGUGGCGGACGGGUGAGUAAUGUCUGGGAAACUGCCUGAUGGAGGGGGAUAACUACUGGAAACGGUAGCUAAUACCGCAUACCAUCGGAUGUGCCCAGAUGGGAUUAGCUAGUAGGUGGGGUAAAUGCUCACCUAGGCUACGAUCCCUAGCUGGUCUGGGAGGAUGACCAGCAACGCUGGAAGGGGAACACGGUCCAGCCUCCUACGGGAGGCAGCAGUGGGGAGUAUUGCACAUUGGGCGCAAGCCUGAUGCAGCCAUGCCGGGUGUAUGAGGAAGGCCGUCGGGUUGUAAAGUACUUUCAGCGUGGAGGCGUUACCCGCAGAAGAAGCACCGGCUAACUCCGUGCCAGCAGCCGCGGUAAUAC
rnacentral:rRNA from 1 species